AAGCUCGUAGUUGAAUUUCGGUAAAUAAAAAUUUAACAUCCAUCUCUAAGAUGUGAUUUAAUUUUUAUUUCCUUCCUUUUGAAUACACUCCUUAAAUUAUUUUAAGGGUAAAGUGUUUCAAAUCGUUUACUGUGAAGAAAUUAGAGUGUUCAAAGCAGGCGUAACCUAGCCUUUGAAUAUAUUAGCAUGGGAUAAUGAAAUAGGACUUUAGUCCUACUUUACGUUGGUUUCUAGGGCUGAAGUAAUGAUUAAUAGGGAUAGUUGGG
rnacentral:rRNA from 1 species